rnacentral:sRNA from 1 species
UCUCCAUCGCCGGCGUCGGAGUUGUUUCAGUCGUCGCCGUCGUGGUUGUCGUCGACGCCGGAGGCCAUAAAGUUGAGAUAUCGGAAGAGCUCA